AUUGAACGCUGGCGGCGUGCCUAAUACAUGCAAGUCGAACGCAGUUGCGAACGGGAGAGUAACGCGUAGGUAACUGCCUAUUAGAGGGGGAUAACUAUUGGAAACGAUAGCUAAUACCGCAUACUAGUAGAUGGAUCUGCGGUGUAUUGGCUAGUAGGUAGGGUAAUGGCCUACCUAGGCGACGAUACAUAGACGACCUGGGGAGGUGAUCGGGCAAACCUGGACUGGGACAAUGGCCAGACUCCCACGGGAGGGAAGAGGAGGGAAUUAUUGGCAAAGGGGGGAACCCUGGACCGACCAAGGCGCCUGAUGGAAAAAAGUUUUCGGAUUUUAAAGCUCUGUUGUUAAGGGAGCGGUACUUAACCAGAAAGGGACGGCUAACUACGUGCCAGCAGCCGCGGUAAUAC
rnacentral:rRNA from 1 species